rnacentral:rRNA from 1 species
AUUGAACGCUGGCGGCAGGCCUAACACAUGCAAGUCGAGCGGAUGAAGGGAGCUUGCUCCUGGAUUCAGCGGCGGACGGGUGAGUAAUGCCUAGGAAUCUGCCUGGUAGUGGGGGAUAACGUCCGGAAACGGGCGCUAAUACCGCAUACGUCCUGAGGGAGAAAGUGGGGGAUCUUCGGACCUCACGCUAUCAGAUGACCCUAGGUCGGAUUAGCUAGUUGGUGGGGUAAAGGCCUACCAAGGCGACGAUCCGUAACUGGUCUGAGAGGAUGAUCAGUCACACUGGAACUGAGACACGGUCCAGACUCCUACGGGAGGCAGCAGUGGGGAAUAUUGGACAAUGGGCGAAAGCCUGAUCCAGCCAUGCCGCAUGUGUGAAGAAGGUCUUCGGAUUGUAAAGCACUUUAAGUUGGGAGGAAGGGCAGUAAGUUAAUACCUUGCUGUUUUGACGUUACCAACAGAAUAAGCACCGGCUAACUUCGUG